GGCCUUGACAUGCUGAGAACUUUCCAGAGAUGGAUUGGUGCCUUCGGGAACUCAGACACAGGUGCUGCAUGGCUGUCGUCCGCUCGUGUCGUGAGAUGUUGGGUUAAGUCCCGUAACGAGCGCAACCCUUGUCCUUAGUUACCAGCACGUAAUGGUGGGCACUCUAAGGAGACUGCCGGUGACAAACCGGAGGAAGGUGGGGAUGACGUCAAGUCAUCAUGGCCCUUACGGCCAGGGCUACACACGUGCUACAAUGGUCGGUACAAAGGGUUGCCAAGCCGCGAGGUGGAGCUAAUCCCAUAAAACCGAUCGUAGUCCGGAUCGCAGUCUGCAACUCGACUGCGUGAAGUCGGAAUCGCUAGUAAUCGUGAAUCAGAAUGUCACGGUGAAUACGUUCCCGGGCCUUGUACACACCGCCCGUCACACCAUGGGAGUGGGUUGCUCCAGAAGUAGCUAGUCUAACCUUCGGGGGGACGGUUACCACGGAGUGAUUCAUGACUGGGGUGAAGUCGUAACAAGGUAGGCGUAGAUGA
rnacentral:rRNA from 1 species